UCAUAUGAUUUGUUUUAUCUUUCCAGCUACGGUGCAAAACCAAAGAACUCACAGCCACAGAAAAAGAAAGAAGAAAAGGUUAAACCGACUGAGGACCCAACUGUCCAUAAGAAGAAGAAGACUGUUGUGUUUGCUGACAGAGUGACACGGGUUCCUCCGGUCCAAACA